rnacentral:rRNA from 1 species
AAGUCGUAACAAGGUUUCCGUAGGUGAACCUGCGGAAGGAUCAUUAUCGAAUCGUAGGCGAGGGUUGUCGCUGGCCUCUCGGGGCAUGUGCACGCCCGAGCCCUUGAAUCCCAAACACACAUGUGAACCCACCGUAGGCCUUCGGGCCUAUGUCUUAUCAUAUAAUCCGAAUGUCUAAUAGAAUGUAAACCCAUUUCGUUGCCUUGAAAACGUAACGAAAGAAAACUAUACAACUUUCAACAACGGAUCUCUUGGCUCUCGCAUCGAUGAAGAACGCAGCGAAAUGCGAUAAGUAAUGUGAAUUGCAGAUUUUCAGUGAAUCAUCGAAUCUUUGAACGCACCUUGCGCCCCUUGGUAUUCCGAGGGGCAUGCCUGUUUGAGUGUCAUUAAAUCCUCAACCCCUCCGAUUCGUUUCGGUGGGGAUUGGACUUGGAGCGUGCUGGCGAAGGUCGGCUCCUCUUUAAAUGCAUCAGCGGAGAAAAUGCCUUUUGCGCCUCUGGCCGUUCAGCGUGAUAAUGACGUUGCGCUGCGGUCGAGCUUAAGGUCCGCUUCCAAAGGUCCUCUCGGACGAUAUAUACAUAUGACUUUUGACCUCAAAUCAGGUAGGACUACCCGCUGAACUUAA